UCACUUUCAACAACGGAUCUCUUGGUUCUCACAUCGAUGAAGAACGUAGCGAAGUGCGAUAAGUAGUGUGAAUUGCAGAAUUCCGUGAAUCAUCGAAUCUUUGAACGCAAAUUGCACUCUCUGGUAUUCCGGAGAGUAUGCCUGUUUGAGGGUCAAUU
rnacentral:rRNA from 1 species